UACGUAGGGUGCGAGCGUUAAUCGGAAUUACUGGGCGUAAAGCGUGCGCAGGCGGUUCGACAAGUCUGAUGUGAAAGCCCCGGGCUCAACCUGGGAAUGGCAUUGGAAACUGGCGAGCUAGAGUGUGGCAGAGGGGGGUGGAAUUCCGCGUGUAGCAGUGAAAUGCGUAGAUAUGCGGAGGAACACCGAUGGCGAAGGCAAUCCCCUGGGCCUGCACUGACGCUCAUGCACGAAAGCGUGGGGAGCAAACAGG
rnacentral:rRNA from 1 species